UUUCUCUCCCGAUCUGAGCGGCGGCGCGGCUCCCAUCCUCUUCCUCCACUCCUCUCCCUCAGAUUGAGCUCCGCGCCGAAGUGGAGGAAAGGUACACGACCAUUGAUCUGUGCGUGUCUAGCCAUCGAGGGCUCCCCCUCUCGCGCUCCUUCUUCGCAAGGAGCGCUAGCAGCCCACACGGCGUAGAUCCACUACCCCUGCAUCCGCCCCACGCUGGCCGCCGGUGGCUGCCGCAUAGAUCCGUUCCUCCCCCACCUGCUGCACGCGAUGGUGCAUGCUGCCAUGCCGUUUUGGUGCAGCCAGACCGCUGCCCCUACCCUCGCACUCUGGGCAGAGGCUCGUUCUUGUUCGUGGUGACUACACGUUCCUCCCCGGUGGUGGCGCUCUGCCCGCUGUCUUGCGUUUCUCCCAGCGUUUGCGCCCUUCGACCCCUACCUCGAAUCAAUCAAUCUGGCAAUAGAGAGUUGAAACUGCAAAGAAGCGUGAUGAGGAAAAAGCUGGUUUCGACAUUGGACAUUUGAACAAAAUCAUAUACUGGAGAUUGCUUGUAUUAUAAUAGAAGGUAGUGGACCAAGAUUUCUUAUAUCUGGGUGAGGGCAUCAAUCAAUGUUGGGACAAGGAAUCUCAUCACUACAAUAUAUAGAUACCAUAGUGGACCAGGCGCGUUCUUGAGCAUAGCUAGACGGAAAAACAUCUUUCCUGAGCUGG